UACGAAGGGGGCUAGCGUUGUUCGGAAUUACUGGGCGUAAAGCGCGUGUAGGCGGCUUGGCAAGUCAGAUGUGAAAGCCCUCGGCUUAACCGAGGAAGUGCGUCUGAAACUGCUGAGCUUGAGUGUCGGAGAGGAUGGCGGAAUUCCGCAAGUAGAGGUGAAAUUCGUAGAUAUGCGGAGGAACACCGGUGGCGAAGGCGGCCAUCUGGACGACUACUGACGCUGAGACGCGAAAGCGUGGGGAGCAAACAGG
rnacentral:rRNA from 1 species